GUGGGGUGGUGCAUUGGUCUUAGAUCUUGUUCUGCUGAAAUAGUCCUUCUGUUUCCUCACAGCUCCAAUGCCCAGCUUCAAUUCUGACUCUGGGUGCCCUCUUUGUGGCGUUUGCAUGUUCUUUGGUAACUGGAUGAGUUUCUCACAGCAAGACCCCCACAUCCCAAAACAUACUAGUUGUCAGGAUAAUUGGGUGCUGUAAACUAUUCCUUACAUAAGUGGAAGGAAAAUCAAGUUGGAAUUGAGGGGCAUUGCAUACAGGAUAGGUUACAAGGAAAUACUUGGGGUAUUCUGUAAAUCCCAAAACAAAAAAAAGAGCCGAAUAGAUGUUUUUCGAACAAUUCCUCUAGGUUUCAGUUCAGUUUCCAGCAUCUGCAGCCUCUUGUGUCUCUCUUGAAGAAAACGAAACUGAACCUAACGGAAGACCCGGCUUAAAUAACACAGGCGCGGAGCCAGAUGCCACUGUCGAUGCAAUUUUCCGGAGGCAAACUUUGGGGUUUGUGCACAACCUGCGCUUGGAGUCAUAUUUCGUGCAGUUUGCUGCAUAUCCUUUGCAACAAGAGGAAAUUGUUCUCAAUCUUAACUGGUCAUUUGAACUGGAAGUGAAAUCAAAAUGCAUCGCCUGACUUUUCUAAUACUGGCCUGCACUCUCCCUGCAGUGGAUGGCUUAAUUAUUCAGGUUGCGUUGGGGGGAUUUGUAGCAGGCAA